GGGUCUUCUCCGGUGCACACACAUCUUCGAGAGAGCUGGUUUCCGAUCGCAUUAUCCAGGCUGGGAACUACACAUUUAACAAGGCCAGGCUGAUGAACGCUGGCUUCCAGGAGGUCAUGUAAGAAGAGGAAUGGGAGUGUAUCUUUUUCCACGAUGUGGACCUCAUUCCCAAGGAUGACCGCAACAACUACGUGUGCGGAUCCAGUCCCAAACACUCCUCCGGCGCCAUCACCACGUUUCACUACAUAAUUCCGUACAAAGCAUGCUUCGGAGGAGUGACUGCUUUCACGCCUCUAAAAUACCGCAAAAUGAACGGUUUUCCCAACAACUAUUGGGGCUGGGGUUGUGAGGACAAUGACAUCGGGCUCAGG